UGGUGGGUGUCCGGCUAACUCCGGAGGUGGUGGGUGUCUGACUAACUCCGGAGGUGGUGGGUGUCUGACUAACUCCGGAGGUGGUGGGUGCCUGACUAACUCCGGAGGUGGUGGGUGCCUGGCUAACUCCGGAGGUGGUGGGUGUCUGGCUAACUCCGGAGGUGGUGGGUGUCCGGCUAACUCCGGAGGUGGUGGGUGUCUGACUAACUCCGGAGGUGGUGGGUGUCCGGCUAACUCCGGAGGUGGUGGGUGUCUGACUAACUCCGGAGGUGGUGGGUGCCUGACUAACUCCGGAGGUGGUGGGUGCCUG